UACGGAGGGAGCUAGCGUUGUUCGGAAUUACUGGGCGUAAAGCGCACGUAGGCGGCUUUGUAAGUUAGAGGUGAAAGCCCGGGGCUCAACCCCGGAAUUGCCUUUAAGACUGCAUCGCUUGAAUCCGGGAGAGGUGAGUGGAAUUCCGGAGUGUAGAGGUGAAAUUCGUAGAUAUUCGGAAGAACACCAGUGGCGAAGGCGGCUCACUGGACCGGUAUUGAC
rnacentral:rRNA from 1 species